rnacentral:rRNA from 1 species
UACGGAGGGUGCAAGCGUUAUCCGGAUUCACUGGGUUUAAAGGGUGCGUAGGUGGGCAGGUAAGUCAGUGGUGAAAUCCCCCAGGCUUAACCUGGGAACUGCGUCGGAUACUGGAUGGCUUGAAUUCGGGAGAGGGAUGCAGAAUUCCAGGUGUAGCGGUGAAAUGCGUAGAUAUCUGGAGGAAUACCGGUGGCGAAGGCGGCAUCCUGGACCGACAUUGACGCUGAACGGCGAAAGCUAGGGGAGCAAACGGG